rnacentral:rRNA from 1 species
GAUGAACGCUGGCGGCGUGCCUAAUACAUGCAAGUCGAGCGAACGGACGAGAAGCUUGCUUCUCUGAUGUUAGCGGCGGACGGGUGAGUAACACGUGGAUAACCUACCUAUAAGACUGGGAUAACUUCGGGAGACCGGAGCUAAUACCGGAUAAUAUUUUGAACCGCAUGGUUCAAAAGUGAAAGACGGUCUUGCUGUCACUUAUAGAUGGUUCCGCGCUGCAUUAGCUAGUUGGUAAGGUAACGGCUUACCAAGGCAACGAUGCAUAGCCGACCUGAGAGGGUGAUCGGCCACACUGGAACUGAGACACGGUCCAGACUCCUACGGGAGGCAGCAGUAGGGAAUCUUCGGCAAUGGGCGAAAGCCUGACGGAGCAACGCCGCGUGAGUGAUGAAGGUCUUCGGAUCGUAAAACUCUGUUAUUAGGGAAGAACAUAUGUGGAAGUAACUGUGCACAUCCUGACGGUACCUAAUCAGAAAGCCACGGCUAACUACGUG